rnacentral:lncRNA from 1 species
CCGAUGCUAGUCCAUGGUACAUUCUGGAAGCACUGGCCAUCCAUCCUACUCAAAGGCCUGUCCUGCCAGGGAAGGACGCACAUUCACCUGGCCCCAGGACUGCCUGGAGACCCCGGUAUCAUCAGUGGCAUGCGGUCCCAUUGUGAAAUAGCUGUGUUCAUCGAUGGACCCCUGGCUCUGGCAGGUGAGUCUGGACAAAGCAGGAGCUGCCCUUGCCUUCGGGGAGGGCAUGAGUCACAUCUCUGGCUCUGUCAGCAGAUGGAAUACCCUUCUUCCGCUCUGCCAAUGGGGUGAUUCUGACUCCAGGGAAUACUGAUGGCUUCCUCCUUCCCAAGUACUUCAAGGAGGCCCUGCAGCUACGCCCUACCCGAAAGCCCCUUUCCUUGGCUGGUGAUGAAGAGACAGAGUGUCAGAGUAGCCCCAAGCACAGCUCCAGAGAAAGGAGGAGGAUCCAACAAUAAAAUAUUAAUUUAUAAAAAAGAAAUUUUAAAAAGU